ACCCGAGUGGCGAACGGGUGAGUAACACGUGGGUGAUCUGCCCUGCACUUCGGGAUAAGCUUGGGAAACUGGGUCUAAUAACGGAUAGGAGCUAUCUUUAGUGUGGUGGUUGGAAAGUUUUUUCGGUGUAGGAUGAGCUCGCGGCCUAUCAGCUUGUUGGUGGGGUAAUGGCCUACCAAGGCGGCGACGGGUAGCCGGCCUGAGAGGGUGUACGGCCACAUUGGGACUGAGGUACGGCCCAG
rnacentral:rRNA from 1 species